UCACCAAUACCGAACACCGGCACGUUGC
rnacentral:sRNA from 1 species